rnacentral:rRNA from 1 species
CAAGUCGAGCGAUGAGAUCACUUCUCGUGAAGGAUUAGCGGCGAACGGGUGAGGAACACGUGAAGAAUCUGCCUUCAACUCUGGGAUAACUCCGGGAAACCGGGGCUAAUACCGGAUAUGAGCCUUGAUCGCAUGAUCGGGGCUGGAAAGUUUUUCGGUUGAAGAUGACUUCGCGGCCUAUCAGCUUGUUGGUGAGGUAAUGGCUCACCAAGGCGACGACGGGUAGCCGGCCUGAGAGGGCGACCGGCCACACUGGGACUGAGACACGGCCCAGACUCCUACGGGAGGCAGCAGUGGGGAAUAUUGGGCAAUGGACGAAAGUCUGACCCAGCGACGCCGCGUGCGGGAUGAAGGCCUUCGGGUUGUAAACCGCUUUCAGCAGGGAAUAAGCGCAAGUGAAGGUACCUGCAGAAGAAGCACCGGCUAACUAUGUGCCAGCAGCCGCGGUAAUACAUAGGGUGCAAGCGUUGUCCGGAAUUAUUGGGCGUAAAGAGCUCGUAGGUGGUUUGUUACGUCGGUUGUGAAAUUCAGGGGCUCAACCCCUGACUUGCAGCCGAUACGGGCAAGCUAGAGUUUGGUAGGGGAGACUGGAAUUCCUGGUGUAGCGGUGGAAUGCGCAGAUAUCAGGAGGAACACCGAUGGCGAAGGCAGGUCUCUGGGCCAAUACUGACACUGAGGAGCGAGAGCGUGGGGAGCGAACAGGAUUAGAUACCCUGAUAGUCCACGCCGUAAACGGUGGGCGCUAGUUGUGCGAACCUUCCACGGUUUGUGCGACGCAGCUAACGCAUUAAGCGCCCCGCCUGGGGAGUACGAUCGCAAGAUUAAAACUCAAAGGAAUUGACGGGGCCCCGCACAAGCAGCGGAGCAUGCGGC